rnacentral:tRNA from 1 species
CUUUAGCUCAGUCGGUAGAGCAUCUCACUUUUAAUGAGAGGGUCGAUGGUUCGAGUCCAUCAAGU